CCUACGGGCGGCAGCAGUGAGGAAUAUUGGUCAAUGGGCGCACGCCUGAACCAGCCAAGUAGCGUGAAGGAUGACUGCCCUACGGGUUGUAAACUUCUUUUAUCAAGGAGUAAAGUUAGGCACGUGUGCCUUUUUGUAUGUACUUUAUGAAUAAGGAUCGGCUAACUCCGUGCCAGCAGCCGCGGUAAUACGGAGGAUCCGAGCGUUAUCCGGAUUUAUUGGGUUUAAAGGGAGCGUAGAUGGGUUGUUAAGUCAGUUGUGAAAGUUUGCGGCUCAAACGUAAAAUUGCAAUUGAUACUGGCAGCCUUGAGUACAGUUGAGGUAGGCGGAAUGCGUGGUGUAGCGGUGAAAUGCUUAGAUAUCACGAAGAACUCCGAUUGCGAAGGCAGCUUACUAAACUGCCACUGACAUUGAUGCUCGAAAGUGUGGGUAUCAAACAGGAUUAGAUACCCCGGUAGUC
rnacentral:rRNA from 1 species